AGCGAACGCUGGCGGCAGGCUUAACACAUGCAAGUCGAGCGGGCACUUCGGUGUCAGCGGCAGACGGGUGAGUAACACGUGGGAACGUACCCUUCGGUUCGGAAUAACGCUGGGAAACUAGCGCUAAUACCGGAUACGCCCUUUUGGGGAAAGGUUUACUGCCGAAGGAUCGGCCCGCGUCUGAUUAGCUAGUUGGUGGGGUAAUGGCCUACCAAGGCGACGAUCAGUAGCUGGUCUGAGAGGACGAUCAGCCACACUGGGACUGAGACACGGCCCAGACUCCUACGGGAGGCAGCAGUGGGGAAUAUUGGACAAUGGGCGCAAGCCUGAUCCAGCCAUGCCGCGUGAGUGAUGAAGGCCUUAGGGUUGUAAAGCUCUUUUGUCCGGGACGAUAAUGACGGUACCGGAAGAAUAAGCCCCGGCUAACUUCGUG
rnacentral:rRNA from 1 species